rnacentral:rRNA from 1 species
UACGUAGGGAGCAAGCGUUGUCCGGAAUCAUUGGGCGUAAAGCGCGCGUAGGUGGCUUCGUAAGUCCGUUGUGAAAGUCAAAGGCUCAACCUUUGAAAGCCGAUGGAUACUGCGGAGCUAGAGUACGGAAGAGGCGAGUGGAAUUCCUGGUGCAGCGGUGAAAUGCGCAGAUAUCAGGAGGAACACCAAUUGCGAAGGCAGCUCGCUGGGACGUAACUGACGCUGAGACGCGAAAGCGUGGGGAGCAAACAGG